rnacentral:tRNA from 1 species
GGGCGAUUGGCGCAGGUGGUUAGCGCGCUACCUUGACAUGGUAGAGGUCACUGGUUCGAGUCCAGUAUUGCCCACCA